GAUGAACGCUGGCGGCGUGCCUAACACAUGCAAGUCGAACGGAAGGACCCUGCUUUUGUGGGGUGCUCGAUUGCGGAAGGGGGGAGUAACACGUGAGUAACCUGCCCUUGUCUUUGGGGUAACUUCAGGGAACUCGGGCUAAUACCGGGUAGGAGCUCCUGCUGCAUGGUGGGCGUUGGAAAGUUUCGGCGUUUGGGGAUGGACUGGCGGCUUAUCAGCUUGUUGGUGGGGUAGUGGCUGACCCAGGCUUUGACGGGUAGCCGGCCUGAGAGGGUGAACGGCGACAUUGGGACUGAGAGACGGAGCAGACGGCUACGGGAGGCAGCAGGGGGGAAUAUUGCACAAUGGGCGCAAGUCUGAUGCAGAAACCCUGCGUGCGGGAUAACCGCUUUCUGGUGAAAAACCGCUUUCGCCUGAGACGAAGCGUGAGUGACGGUAAUGGGUAAAGAAGCAACGGCUAACUACGUG
rnacentral:rRNA from 1 species